AACGAACGCUGGCGGCAUGCCUAACACAUGCAAGUCGAACGAGACCUUCGGGUCUAGUGGCGCACGGGUGCGUAACGCGUGGGAACCUGCCCUUAGGUUCGGAAUAACUCCCCGAAAGGGGUGCUAAUACCGGAUAAUGUCUUCGGACCAAAGAUUUAUCGCCUUUGGAUGGGCCCGCGUUGGAUUAGCUAGUUGGUAGGGUAAAAGCCUACCAAGGCGACGAUCCAUAGCUGGUCUGAGAGGAUGAUCCGCCACACUGGGACUGAGACACGGCCCAGACUCCUACGGGAGGCAGCAGUGGGGAAUAUUGGACAAUGGGCGAAAGCCUGAUCCAGCAAUGCCGCGUGAGUGAUGAAGGCCUUAGGGUUAUAAAGCUCUUUUACCCGGGAUGAUAAUGACAGUACCGGGAGAAUAAGCUCCGGCUAACUCCGUG
rnacentral:rRNA from 1 species